rnacentral:rRNA from 1 species
UACGGGGGGGGCAAGCGUUGUUCGGAAUUACUGGGCGUAAAGGGCUCGUAGGCGGCCAACUAAGUCGGACGUGAAAUCCCCAGGCUCAACCUGGGAACUGCGUCCGAUACUGGAUGGCUUGAAUCCGGGAGAGGGAUGCAGAAUUCCAGGUGUAGCGGUGAAAUGCGUAGAUAUCAGGAGGAACACCGGUGGUGAAGGCGGCUUUCUGGACAGAUACCGACGCUGAGGCACGAAAGCUAGGGGAGCAAACAGG